rnacentral:rRNA from 1 species
UACGUAGGGACCGAGCGUUGUCCGGAUUUAUUGGGCGUAAAGAGCGUGUAGGCGGCCAGGUAGGUCAGCUGUGAAAACUCGAGGCUCAACCUCGAGACGUCGGUUGAAACCACCUGGCUAGAGUGCGUUCGGGGCAGAGGGAAUUCCUGGUGUAGCGGUGAAAUGCGUAGAGAUCAGGAAGAACACCGGUGGCGAAAGCGCUCUGCUAGGCCGCAACUGACACUCAUGGACGAAAGCUAGGGGAGCGAAUGGG